GCGUUCAGCAGCCAGCUUGCGGCAAAACUGCGUAACCGUCUUCUCGUUCUCUAAAAACCAUUUUUCGUCCCCUUCGGGGCGGUGGUCUAUAGUGUUAUUAAUAUCAAGUUGGGGGAGCACAUUGUAGCAUUGUGCCAAUUCAUCCAUUAACUUCUCAGUAACAGAUACAAACUCAUCACGAACGUCAGAAGCAGCCUUAUGGCCGUCAACAUACAUAUCACC
rnacentral:rRNA from 1 species